rnacentral:rRNA from 1 species
UGGGGAAUUUUCCGCAAUGGGCGAAAGCCUGACGGAGCAAGACCGCGUGAGGGAGGAAGGCUCUUGGGUUGUAAACCUCUUUUCUCUGGGAAGAAGAUCUGACGGUACCAGAGGAAUCAGCAUCGGCUAACUCCGUGCCAGCAGCCGCGGUAAUACGGAGGAUGCAAGCGUUAUCCGGAAUUAUUGGGCGUAAAGCGUCCGUAGGUGGCGGUUCAAGUCUGCCGUUAAAACCAGUAGCUUAACUACUGACAGGCGGUGGAAACUGAACAGCUAGAGUGUGGUAGGGGUAGAGGGAGUUCCCAGUGUAGCGGUGAAAUGCGUAGAGAUUGGGAAGAACACCGGUGGCGAAAGCGCUCUGCUGGACCACAACUGACACUCACAGGACGAAAGCUAGGGGAGCGAAAGGGAUCAGAUACCCCUGUAGUCCUAGCCGUAAACGAUGGAUACUAGGUGUUGUGAGUAUCGACCCUCACAGUGCCGGAGCCAACGCGUUAAGUAUCCCGCCUGGGGAGUACGCACGCAAGUGUG